rnacentral:rRNA from 1 species
UACGUAGGUGACAAGCGUUGUCCGGAUUUACUGGGCGUAAAGAGCGCGUAGGCGGCCAGGCAGGUCCGCUGUGAAAACUCGAGGCUCAACCUCGAGAUGUCGGUGGAAACCGUCUGGCUAGAGUCCGGAAGAGGAGAGUGGAAUUCCCGGUGUAGCGGUGAAAUUCGUAGAUAUUCGCAAGAACACCAGUGGCGAAGGCGGCUCACUGGCCCGAUACUGACGCUGAGGCACGAAAGCGUGGGGAGCAAACAGGG